CCUACGGGAGGCAGCAGUGAGGAAUAUUGGUCAAUGGGCGGAAGCCUGAACCAGCCAAGUAGCGUGCAGGAUGACGGCCCUACGGGUUGUAAACUGCUUUUAUACGGGAAUAACGCGCCUUACGUGUAGGGCUUUGCAUGUACCGUAUGAAUAAGGAUCGGCUAACUCCGUGCCAGCAGCCGCGGUAAUACGGAGGAUUCAAGCGUUAUCCGGAUUUAUUGGGUUUAAAGGGUGGGUAGGCGGUCGGGUAAGUUAGUGGUGAAAUCAUGAGGCUCAACUUCGGGAUUGCCUUUGAUACUGUUCGGCUAGAGAGUAGUAGCGGUAGGCGGAAUGUGUGGUGUAGCGGUGAAAUGCUUAGAGAUCAUACAGAACACCGAUUGCGAAGGCAGCUUACCAGGCUACUUCUGACGUUGAGGCACGAAAGCGUGGGGAUCAAACAGGAUUAGAUACCCCGGUAGUC
rnacentral:rRNA from 1 species